UAUAUUGUAGUAGAUUAGAUUCUAUGUAUUUGCAGUAUUAGCUUUGAGUAGAUUUUGUUGGUAAACCUUCGUGUUUCAUAAAACUUCGAAAGCAUGGUCUUGUAUCAUAAAAACUUGAAAACUCUUUAAUAUUGGAAAAAGACUCCCUCGCACUAAGGGCGAAACCAUAUUAGGCGUUUUUUCAGGCGCCAACCCAAUCGAAGAGCUUCCUGCCCUGCCGACUCUAAAAACGCCUGAAAAAACUGUUAAUAUGAUCUUGUCCUAAACAUGAGUAUAAAAUAGAUUAUUAUAUAAAUUAAAACAGGAGGCACACGACAUAGAUAGAUUUAAAACACUCAAAAACUUACAUAUCGGUAAUUUUCGACGAAAUUUUUUUUAGUUCAAAUCAACACCACACCCUACUUAGUUGAAAAAGGCGACACAGCUCGUCGAAAAUUUCCGAUUAUAAUGUAAGUUUUUGAGUGUUUUCAAUACAUCUAUGUCGUGUGUCUCCUGUAUUAUUUUAUAUUAUGAAACUUUAAAGUGUUUUCUGUUAUGUGCUACAAAUAUGGUGUAUAAAAUGAGCCAUAAACUGAUUCAUAUUCAGUGUGAGGUAGCCUUUUUUCUAUAAUAUGAUUUUUAUCUCAUUAUUUCAUAAGUAAUUUCAUAAUAAAUAUUGUACUGUAUGACUAAAUUGCCAUAAAACUAAUCAACACCUUUAAGAAUAUCAUUUAUGUAAAAAUGAAGACCAUGACACAGCAAUAAGAAAAUUAUUUUCAACCAUUGUCAAAGGUAUAAAAUUGUCACAAACUUUGUACUAAUAUUUUGAAUGCUAUACUACUAAUAUUGUUCUGUGGGUCAUAGUUGUAUGCUACUUAACUCGUAAGCUCUAAUUCUAGGUUACUAACUAAUUAGCCUAGGUUGAAAUAUGUUGGUAAAUUUAUGUUUUACUCAUAGGCCUGGUGAGAUUCAGUUUUUAAUGUCAGCAUUUCAUAACUUGAACUACAACAUUAAUGAAACUGUGUAUUUAAUUCACACAGUGUAGUGAACAAUGUGUUUGGUGAGUUGAUUUCUUUGUCUCCUUCUUCUUCUCUCCUCUUCUUAGUGAAUUAAUUGAAAAGACAAAGAUGUUUUGUGGUUUUUCUACAAAUAAUCUUUGUGACAGUUGACUACAUUAAAUCAUCAACGCUUCCCCAUUCACAAAAUGCUGACCAUUUCAAGUGAAUCUCACUAAAUUUGCUCUAAGCUUGCUGGUAUAGUAAAUGUGCUGUGAUUGUUGAAAUGUAAUAAAAUGUCUAUCACGCUAAAUGCA